rnacentral:rRNA from 1 species
GUGGGCUGCACCAGAAGUAGAUAGCUUAACCUUCGGGAGGGCGUUUACCACGGUGUGGUUCAUGACUGGGGUGAAGUCGUAACAAGGUAGCCCUAGGGGAACCUGGGGCUGGAUCACCUCCUUACCUAA